AGAGCGCUGCCGCCGCCGCUUUCGCCCGGGAGCCGGGGGCCGGGCGCCAUCAUGCUGAGCCGGCUCGGGGCGCUGCUGCAGGAAGCCGUGGGGGCGCGCGAGCCCAGCAUUGACCUGCUGCAGGCCUUCGUGGAGCACUGGAAGGGCAUCACGCACUACUACAUCGAGAGCACAGGUGCGGCCUGGCCCUCCCCAGCCCAGGGACCCUGGAGGGAGCGGGGAGGAAGGAGUGUGCAGAGUGUCACCAUUCAGGUGUCCUGGGAAAGGUAACCUGCCCAGUCGUUCAGAAUCGGAGCCGAGUUCACGGAGACAGAGAACCAGACAGACAGAAGACCCAGAGCCCUGGGCCACUCCACUCCUGAUGAUUUAGCUGCUGGUCCCACUCUGACCUUUUAGAAAGAGGCUGUGUGAGGAAGGAGUAGCCUGGUUGGGGGUCUCACUGGCCUGACUCUGCAAGGAAGAGGUGGCUGCACUUCCCCCAGCUUCCAGCUCCAGACCUUCAGGCCCCAGGUGCUUGUGCCUAGGGUUUAAUGAUCAAAAGAAAAGAGUUUAAUAAAUUCCCCUUUCCCCUGAGCCAGCUUAGGGGCAUUGUCCUUGUAGAGAUCUGGGGUAGGAGGAGAAUGAAAACCAAGGUGCGUAACAUGCCUGGGUCCCUCUCUCCAAGCUGACACCCCAAAGAGCCAAAGCCUUGGCACCUGGUCCCAUCAGGACCGCUCACUGAGGGGAUGGCAUCUGAGUGGCUGCUCUGCAGUCAUGAGGCUGCCAUGGGUGGAUACGGACUGGUGGCCAGGUAACCAUAUCCUGCAUCCCUCACUUUUCCCUUCCUGGAGUUCAGACUGGGGCUUGAUCCCAGCCCACACCUUUCCUACAGGCUUUCUUUCCAGCCCGGGCCAGCCCAGGAAAUUCAGAAAUCUGCGGGACCCUCUGAGGGUUCUGCUAGACCAGGUUUCUCAAUCUUGGCACAGUUGGCAUUGGACCUGGAGCCUUCCCUGCGCGGGGCUGUCCUGGGCGGUGUGGGAUGUGCAGCAGUAAUUCUGGCCUCUACCCACUAGGUGCCAGUAGCACACCCCACCCCCGAAUUGGGACAACCAGGAAGGUCUCCAGACAUUGCCUCAUGUUCCCUGGGGGGGAAAAGCGCACCCCUGGUUCUGAACCAUCUCUUCAGGUUAAAGAUCUCUUGAAGGAGAGCCUCAGUCCACCAGCUGAGUAAGAUCAGAUCAGAACUGGCUGAAAUUCACCUGGGGCUUCCCCCAUCCAGCCCUUUCAUUUCCAGAAUGGUCCCUAGACCAGAAGGGUUGGAAGUACGUGGGGCAGGCCGCCCUACUCAAGCUCCUGUUCCUUAAAGGAAAGCUAGGGGGUGCUCCAAGUCUAGUCCUGAAGCACCAGAACUUUCUUUAAAACACACACUGAGACUCUUGACUGCAAAAGCCCCCACUAAGUAGCUUCCCCGUCAGGGCGUUGGUACAGGGAGCAGGACUGGGUCAGACCUGAAGGUGGUGGCACAGAUGUUUUUUUCUGCUUUGUGAAAAACAGAGGCUUGCCUUCUCUGAGUGUCAGUGGGGGAGGCCUCAGGAGGUUCUCUCUCAGGCAGCUGCUGGAAUUACAGCUUCUAAGUUAUGUGACAAGAGCCCUGAGCCCACAGUGUCCACUCAGGCCCAGAGCUGACAGCAGCCUUCUGUGGGCCCAGGACCAUGUGUCCCUGUCUCUGUACCCAUCCUAGGGUUUGAAGGAAACCGAUGCUGCUGCCCCCUGAUAAAGGGCUGGGCAUGCAUGCGUUCUCAGAGGACUGUGUCCUGAGCCUGGAAGGACUUUUGUCUUCUUAAAUAUUGAAGCAUUCACUGUAAACUUCCAUUUCCCCAUUGCCAGCAGCUCUCUUCCCCCACCUCUUCCAGACAGGACCUCCCCUUUCUGGGCUUUGGCAGGAGAGGGUGAAGUUUUCAAGCCAGGGUGCCCCUCUUUACCCUACUCACCCUUGUUUCCCAAACAUCAUUAGAUGAAAGCACCCCCGCCAAGAAGACAGACAUUCCCUGGCGGCUGAAGCAGAUGCUGGAUAUCCUGGUGUAUGAAGAGCAGCAGCAGGCGGCCGCGGGUGAGGCAGGGCCCUGCCUGGAGUACCUGCUGCAGCACAAGAUCCUGGAGACUCUCUGCACGCUGGGCAAGGCUGAGGUGGGAGGCCCUCUGUGCGCUGGGCCAGGCCGAGGUGGGAGACCCUCUGAGUGCUGGGCCAGGCUGAGGUGGGCAGUGGGCAGCCUGGGGCUCCCUGGAUUCCAGGCCUUUCUGCCUAUGCUCUUCCCAGUCCUGACACUGAAAGUGGCAGUUCGGGCGAGAGGAGCAAACAGGACGGGCACUGUGGCUGUCUCACUUAGAACACUCCACCAUCCCAGCGCUCCUGUUCCCAGUUCACUCCACAAAGAUGGGCCUGCCAUGUGCCAGGCUCUGCUCUAGAUGCUGGGGACACAGCAGGGAUUCAUACUGACAAGAGCCAGGCAUGGUGAUGCGCGCCUGUAGCCCCAGCUACGUGGGAGGCCGAGGUGGGUGGAUUGCUUGAGCCCAGGAGAUGGAGGCUGCAGUGAACUGUUAUCGUGAGACCGCACUCCUGCCUAGGAGGCAGAGCAAGACACUGUCUCUU
rnacentral:sRNA from 1 species